UACGUAGGGUCCGAGCGUUGUCCGGAAUUACUGGGCGUAAAGAGCUCGUAGGUGGUUUGUCGCGUUGUUCGUGAAAACUCACAGCUUAACUGUGGGCGUGCGGGCGAUACGGGCAGACUGGAGUACUGCAGGGGAGACUGGAAUUCCUGGUGUAGCGGUGGAAUGCGCAGAUAUCAGGAGGAACACCGGUGGCGAAGGCGGGUCUCUGGGCAGUAACUGACGCUGAGGAGCGAAAGCGUGGGGAGCGAACAGG
rnacentral:rRNA from 1 species